GCUUACCCGCUUGCUCCUUCACUCGUCCGCAAUUCAAAGAAAAAGAUCAGUCGAUUUGAUCGGAGAUGGGCGGGCCACCCUAUGAUUGCCUUGCCAACCCACUGGGAGCCGUCCGAUUCACGUUCGAGAAGUCGGUAUCGUCGGGCUCCGACCCGGCGUCCUUCGACGGUAAGGACUGGGGCGCCCUCGACCUCUUCCGCCAUAUCCUCUCUGAUCCAGCCGCUCUCGCCCAGGUUCCGAUUCUCAAUCCUUCGACAAUCAGAUGGUUGCGGCCCAAUAUUCUUGUCCGUUUUCAGGGAAUGAUUCAAGACAUGCUGGGAAAUGAGUUCUAUGUUGGUGCUUGCAAGGAUGGAUCGGUGUGGAGAACCAAUAAAUACACAGACUUUUGCCAAUUUCCCAUGGGUUCUUCCCCGGAUAUGCGAAUUUGGGAACGCCGACUACUCUACUGCGUCCCGGUGCCAGGACGAAAUUCAUGGACUGAAUCUUUUUCUGAAGUGGCAAUGAAACGGUUUAUGGAUUGGGCAUCUCAACAGAGGGAGAAGCGCAGAAGAAUGGAAGAUGAAGAUCCCAAUCACAUGGAUUUACAAGUCACAGAUGAUGACUACAAAAGUUCCCCUACUGCAAAGAAGAUGAGAGAGGAUGGCGAUCCUUCCUCAUCUUCACACUCACAGAACUCCAUGAUUGUUGAUGCUCCAUCUGGUUUGCAUACUCUUGCAGAUGCUGAUAGAAAUUUUCUUCCUUGUUUGGUGAAAGUAUAUGAUACGCCAGAGUCUGACUUAAAGCUGAAUGAUGUUCUUGAGUUUGUUGGGAUCUUAACGUUUGAUUCAGACCUGCCAGUAGAUGAGUAUGACAAUGAUGAAUCCUCUGGUGGUCUAGGUGAAGAAGAGUUGGUUCGUUUGCCUCCUAGCAAGGUCCCACGCCUUCAUUGUCUCUUUAGCAGAAAGCUUGAACUUCAUGAUUUUCUCACCGGUUCCCCCAAGGAGCUGAAGCCCCAUCUAAUCAAAGAAAUAAGGGAAGCUCUGCUCAUGCAUCUUACAACUAUUCUUGGAAAUGACAGUGUUGCUGCUCAUUUUAUGUUGUUGCAUCUUCUCUCCAGGAUUCAUGCCAGGGCAGAUGGUAUUGCUGUUGGGAAGCUUUCACUUAAUCUUACUCAUCUAAGCAAGGAGGGUAUGUCUAUAUUUGGCACUAGACUUAGCCACUUCGUCAAGAAUCUCCUGCCAUUCACGCAUUGCAUACCCCUUACACUAGAGUAUCUUAACAGUGCCUCACUUGCUCCCAAAAAGGAUUAUGAAUUAAACAGACUAAUACCAGGAACACUACAGCUAGCUGAGGGCUCACAUGUGAUAUUUGAUGAAACCCAGCUGCAAGCAGGGACUCUCAACUCUGUUGGGGUUGAGAAUGCUAGGUUGUUGAAAAAUCUAAUGGAGUAUCAGAAGGUCGAGUAUGACUUCAAGUAUUAUAAAAUGGAAAUGACAACCAAUGUCCUGUUGCUCAUCUUUUCUGAGGGGAAAUCAAACAUCAUGCCAGCUGAUUUAGUUAUACCUUUCCAAUCUUCUAGAGCGGAUUCCUUUGGGGUUCCUGGUGCAGAAGCACUGGAAGCUUGGAGAUGGUACUUAACUACAGUUAGAUCACUGCCGCACUCCAUUGAAUCAGAGAUGCAGAAGGUGGUAGAAAGUGACUUGGUUGCUGCAAGACAAGCAGAUCGUAGCUUAGGCAGCCAAGAUUUUAGCAGAUGGUUGACAAUGGCACGCCUAAUGUCAUUGAGUUUUGGAGAAAGCAGUCUUUCGUUGGAGCAUUGGCAAAUGGUUAUGGAAUUGGACAGAUUGAGAAGGGACAGACUAAAGUGAAAUAUGCAGGUUUUUUGUAAGCUGAAAACAUAGAGAUAGUCUUCAUCGAAGCAUGAUACCGUAUGAAGAAUAUAUAGAAGAUUCAAAAAUCUCAUCCAAAUCAAGCCUAGGUGCAAUUACCUAAUUAGGUGCAAUAUCAUAAGAGGGAGGGGGAAAUGGUGGAGAGGUUCGUAAGCUGGAGGUAAACCUCUCAAGUGAUGCUUGUCAAGAAACUCAUAAAAGUUGUGAAAGGAAGUGGCAAACCACAAUAAUCAAGUUUUUAACAAUGGGGUUUUGUGAUUAGUUCUUAAUCAUCAACCUAAUCAUACACACAUGAGCAGUAGUAUCUGCACAGACUUGGAUGGAUGAUUUAGGGGGGUCCAACAAAAACUUCUAUAAAUAUAUAAUCA